AUGCAGUCAAAAAUGAUUCUGCCAGCUACAACAAUUCAGAUUUUAAUUGAUGAGUUCAUGGAGGUGCAUACAAAUAGCAUGACGCAUACCUUGUCCAAAGUUAAUGAAGAAUUGACAAAGCUAAAAAUUCCAGACUGUCAAAUAAAUGAAAUAAUAAGUGGGUUAUCUAAAGAAAACUUACUUAAGAUGUAUAAUGAGGGAUAUUUUAAGUCAGAUCAGACUCGGAAGUCCUUUUUCAAAAAACAUUUCAAUUAUGUGGAGCCUGUGCAGGUGUACCUAGGCUGUGAUGCAUCAGGGAAAGAGCGCUUUUGUCAGUACAUACCAGUGAAAGACACUCUGAAGGCAUUUCUGAACAAUGGAUCUGUUAAAGAGCAGUAUGAUAAGGCCAAGGAACAAACAUCACAAAAUCCCCAUGUACUUGAGGAUAUAAGGGAUGGGAGAAAUUUUAAAGAAAACACUCUUUUUAAAGAGUCUAAAUCAGUAGUGUCUCUAAUUUUAUAUCAAGAUGCGUUUGAGGUAGUUAAUCCCCUUGGCUCUGGAAGAAAAAAACACAAACUAGUUGCUGUGUACUUGACACUUUCAGAAAUCUGUCCCCAUAAUAGAUCAUCUAUUGAUCCUAUGCAAUUGGUCAUGCUUUGUAGAGAGGAAGAUUUUAAGUUUUUUGGGCAGCAACAAGUUUUCACACCUCUUUUGAGUGAUCUCAAGGACAUGGAGGAAUGUGGAAUUGUACUGGAGAAUGGAGAGACAGUGAGGGGAGCGGUGAUUGCCAUUGUUGGAGAUAAUUUGGGGUCACAUAGCAUCGGAGGUUUUACUGAGAAUUUCAGUAAGAGUAGACAUUUCUGCCGUUACUGUCUUAUAAACAGAGACAUGUUUGAAAGCAAAGGCACAGACUUAGGACCAACAAGAACAAAACAGAGUUACCGAAACAGUGUGGCAAUGUCUGAAGGGCAAGAAAUGUGUGAUGGUGUCAAGUUUGACUCUGUGUUCAACUGCCUAAAACACUUUCAUGUGUGUGAUCCUGGGCUUCCUCCGUGUUUGGCACAUGAUCUUUUUGAGGGAGUUGUUUCAACAGAUCUGGCUUUGUACAUAAAACAGCUUGUCACUAUAGGGAAACACUUCAGCUAUGUUCAGCUGAACAGAAACAUAUCUAGCUUUAAGUUCUGUGGAAGUGACAUGAAUAAUAAGCCAUCUGAAAUAAAACCUGAUGGUGGAAAGUUGACAGGACAUGCAGCUCAGAACUGGUGUCUGCUUCGAUUGCUCCCAUUACUAAUUGGGGAUCGAAUAAAAAAUCCAGUUGAUGAUGAAAUUUGGCAGUUGUGCUUGAAGUUAAGGGAGCUUGUUGAAAUGAUAUGUGCACCAAAAAUUCAUCAUGAUCAAGUAGCCUACAUGAAAUGUCUGAUUGAAGAAUAUGUGUACUUAAGAGCUACCUUGUUUCCAGAUGCACCACUGAAACCAAAACAUCAUUUUUUACUUCACUACCCUGAACUCACACUUAAAUUCGGACCACUGAUUAGACUAUGGACUUUACGGUUUGAAAGCAAGCACACAUAUUUUAAACAAUGUGCAAGAAAAUUACGAAAUUUCAACUUCGGAACACUUAUCAGUGAAGUAGAAGUAUGUAUAUUUGUUAAAUUAUUAAUUUACUGUUAUUAA
ensembl:lncRNA